GAUGAAGAACGUAGCGAAAUGCGAUAAGUAAUGUGAAUUGCAGAAUUCAGUGAAUCAUCGAAUCUUUGAACGCACAUUGCGCCCGCCAGUAUUCUGGCGGGCAUGCCUGUUCGAGCGUCAUUUCAACCCUCGGGCGCCCAGUGCCUGGUGUUGGGGAUCGGCCCAGCCUUCCUGUAAGGCCGCCGGCCCCGAAAUCUAGUGGCGGUCUCGCUGUAGUCCUCCUCUGCGUAGUAGCACAACCUCGCAGUUGGAACGCGGCGGUGGCCAUGCCGUUAAACACCCCACUUCUGAAAGUUGACCUCGGAUCAGGUAGGAAUACCCGCUGAACUUAAGCAUAUCAAUAAGCGGAGGA
rnacentral:misc_RNA from 1 species